AUCUCUUUCUGGAGAUCCCUGCCUAUCUGAUGCUCUUCCAAAGAAGUGGGGAAUAAGCCCAACUUGGUCUGUGAUGGUUCUUUGCUACUUCACUCCUCCAUGUGCAGCUUUGAUUACUGCUGGCUGAACACUAUGGAUGUAUGGCAGGCUUGACUGUCUGUGUAGCAGUAGGCUGAUAGCUGUAAUGGAAAUAGUUUCUCCUUCGAAUCAAGCAGCAAGCAGGGAGGUGUGCAAGAACAAAUCCACUUCUGUAAUGUUCCUGCAGCCAUAGACCACCAAACAAGUUUGGGAAGGCAGGACUGGAUGCCUGCUGCCAUCAGUGAACUGAGGACACAUCUUCACAUCAGCCUGAUUAUUCUUCACUCCAGGAAAACACUCUGAACUGAUGCUGCACCCCUCCCUGCUGAUCAAAAUCUCCUCAUUCCCCAUGGGACUCCCUGACCAUUUGGAAGCAGACCACAGGCUGGUGCACAGCACCCAUGCUGCACCAACUAAAAAAGCCUGGUGGAAAUUCUGCUGAUGUUAAUAAUUCAGUUAGGAGUUAAGGGAAGCUUUUGACGUACUCCUCCUCGUAGGUAGACGCCAGAGAUAUGGAAGUAAAAACACACAUGGAAAAGCCAGAAAUUGCUUGUUGCUUCAGGCUUAUUUUAAUUUCUUGCUCAGUAGGGAAUGCAUUAGCCCUUCACUUUGCUGGUGUAAGUAAAAAUAUUAGUUCUUCAGCUUUGGUUUUUCUGGUGGCUCUGGGGCUAAGAAUCUUUAAAUAAUGAAUGUACCAUCUGUCAGUAAGCUUAGCUACUAUUAUUUGGAUUAUAACCAGGAGUGUAUGUUACAAAAUAAAACAAUCUUCCUAAAAAGGAAGAGAUAGAUAACAAAAAGAAAUAGGACACAGAAGUUGUGGAUUCUCUGAGCAAGGGGAGAUACUGAAAUUUUAAACAAACAUUAGUGUUUUCUUCCUGUAUUUGCUAUGUUGCAAGGCAUGAGUCCCUGUUAGGCAGCUCAUGAGAUUUGUUCCCAUCACACAACGAAGAGGAUGUUUUGUCUCUGUACCUUAACUUGAUGCUCAUUAGGAUACUCUUCUUGUUUACCUCCCUGAGACAAGUCAGCCAGGGGGGUCUGGGAAUCCUCUGUCUUACCCCAUACUGGGAAAAUAAAUGGCAUGAGAGGAGCAGAUAUGGAAAAUCUUGUUUCUGAAAUCCACGAACAGAGAUCGGGUUAUGAAGAAUGUGUUUUGGAAUAAGAGUGUCUGUUCUUUUCCCAAAUCCCUAUACAUGCAACUUAUCAGAUCUCAAUUUUGCUCCCCAUUUCAACCUGUCAGCUCCACUAUUCCCAGAAGCAACCAGUCGCCAUGCUGUAUUAGCCAAUGAUCAAACUCUGGAUUAUGGUUGUCUGGAAAUGCUAGAGAAAUGUCCAUAGAGAUAGACUGGCAGCGUGUGCAGAGGUAUCUGCAGGACAAAUACCAGCAACUCUGGCAUUCAUCAUGGGCAAGGUACUACUUCAGUAGUGUCUGCAGCUACUUGGGUGGUAUAGCUAAAUCAACAUCUUCUAGUGCAUCAUCUCUUUCCAGAUUGUAAAACGAAAAUCACAGUCUGUAUUUCUUCUCUGUGUGCUUGGAGCAG
ensembl:lncRNA